AUCUGAGGGUUUGGCUUGCAUUCCUGCAGGAUUAUAAUGGGGUUUCUUUUUGGCAGAAGUGCCUUAACCCCGGGGCGGAGUUCCAGGUUCAUUCUGAUGCUUCUGGCCGCUUUGGCUUUGGCGUGUUCUUCAGGGGACAUUGGUGCGCCCAGCCGCGGCCAUCUUCUUGGCACACAGCAGGCAUUACUCGGGAUUUAACCUUUCUGGAGUUCUUUCCUAUUCUAGUCGCCAUUUGCAUCUGGGGAACCCUCUUUUCGAAUUCCAGGGUCUGUUUCUGGUCUGACAAUCAAGCAGUGGUAAGAGUUAUAUCUAGGCAGUCAGCAAAGUCCCAGAGGGUCAUAAGGGUCCUGCGCCUGUUUGUGCUGGAGUGCCUGCGGCACAAUAUUUCUUUCACUGCCCGCUUCAUACCUGGCCUUAACAAUAACAUUGCUGAUGCCCUGUCUCGUUUCCAGAUGGAGCGUUUCCGCGAACUGGCACCAGGAGCAGCCCAGUCCCCAGACGCCUUCCCAGACGAACUGUGGGAGAUUGGAAGCGAGAAGUAAACCAGGGAG